CCUGAAGAUUUUUGGAACUUUGUUAACACUGAUCUUGUGAAAUUGUUUCUCACAAGGCAAGUAUUGUGCUGUAGUCAACCUAGUCUUUUUGGGGUUGCCAUGGAAAUAAUGUGUUGAUGAGUUUUGAUAACGUAAAUAAUGUUUGCAAAGGAGACUUGAGCCAACACUGUUAUCAUACAAAAUAGCAGAAGGUGUUAGUAUUCAUGAUGCAUUAGUAGGUUUUAGGGCUGUAGAAUUUUUUACUAGUAUGAAUUAAUAAAAACAAACAAAACAAUGCCUA